rnacentral:rRNA from 1 species
GGAAAACUUACCAGGUCCAGACAUUGUUAGGAUUGACAGAUUGAGAGCUCUUUCUUGAUUCGAUGGGUGGUGGUGCAUGGCCGUUCUUAGUUGGUGGAGUGAUUUGUCUGGUUAAUUCCGUUAACGAACGAGACCGUAGCCUGCUAAAUAGUUCCGCGAACUUCUUGUUGGCGGUCGACUUCUUAGAGGGACAACUUGUGACCAACAAGUGGAAGUUUGCGGCAAUAA